GGGGAUUUAGCUCAGUGGUAGAGCGCUUGCCUAGCAAGCGCAAGGCCCUGGGUUCAGUCCCCAGCCCCCCCA
rnacentral:tRNA from 1 species